UAAAAUCAAACCAUCGUUUUAUUCUCUCCCGACUCCUGUCUCCUCUCCCCUCUCGUGUCUCGUCUUGGUCGGCUUGGAGGUGCAACGGCGACGGGGACUGCGACGGCGACGGCGGCCGAUUGAGGGACAGAGCCCCUUUCUUCUGCAAGUCUCUCCUUCGUCCUCUUCCUUUUGUAGCGCAAAUUGUCGAGUUUUGCGACGGUAAGCUCGGAUGUUUUUGGGAUUUUUUCUCCCGGCGCAUCGCGUUUGGAUCUUUCGUUUCUUGUUUCGGGAUCUCCCGUUUGUUCGUGCUUUCUCGAGUCUCGGGCCUGUCGGAUUUCGGGUGAAUGAGUGGGGUCGGUGAUUCGUAUUGGUGGCUUGAAAUUUGGGGUGGAGGGAAUGGAGGAACGAAUCGCUGUACGUGCGUCCGCUGCUGUAGUUUUGGGAUUGGCCAAGCUUGGGCUUGUCUUAGCUGCUUCGACCCUCCGUUCCCAUAUCUCCCCUCGCCCUCUUUCUUUGGUAAAGCUGCGUUUUUUGCCCCUUUUUCUUGGUGCCCGGAAGCUCCGAGGGGGAAGAAAGUCGGCUCCGCUCUUCUGGGUUUUGGCUUUUGGUCGAGUCUUGGGGGCUUAGAUGGCGGAUGUGGUUCGACUGUCUUCAUUGCGCUUCUCUUCUUCUCCUUCUUCUUCAUCUCUGACGCCGUCCUCUUCGUGCCAGCGUGGUGCCCUCUGCCCUCCUCCUCGUAAGCUCCACAGGUGGUCCGAUGCUUCUGCGAAUUGCUCCCACAGUGGUGGCGUUGCGGGUCUUGGUUUCGGAACCCGAAAGCGAUUUGCCUCUUUGAAGGAAGGGCUUGUUAGGAAAUGAAUGAGUAGAAAGAUCUCAUCUUGGUUAGGAUUCUCUGUGUAUAUCCCAUAUGUCGGGUCUUUUGUGCUAAAUGCUUUAUAUGCUUUUUGGCUGUUUGGGAUUUUCAGUACACUUGAUUAGUCUUCCCUUGGUACAUCCAAGCAAUUCAUGCUUUGGGCUGAGCGCACUGCAUUAUUUGUUGAAGAGGUCAAAAUGGAUUAAAAAAGUUUUGACUCCUAACCAGCCCAUUGCGAUCAAACAAUUUAUGUCGAUGAUGCAAAUACUACAUAUUUGCUCUUAUGCCAAUCGACAACUGUAGUUAUAUGUUGAUGCUGCCUGAUUAUUAUAGUUCUCAAAAUGGCUGUUGUUGUUCAGUCAGUGUAAUGCUUCUGAGAAGUUUAACUUGAACUGGGUAUUAAGACAUUACGAUUUAAAGACAGCUUAUGCCAAUGAUUUUUCAAGAGAUGCCUUGUGGUGACACUUCACUACUUAUGCCAAGAAAGAUGGAAGGUCCAUUGCCAAUGCGUUGUGAUUGUAAAUUCUGUUACAUGAAUUCUUCCUCUGUUCACUCCUCUGGUGAAUUAGUUUGCAUAUAAACAAUGGUGUCAACUUGGUGCCUCAUUCUGGCUAUUAACUUAUGCUCAGUUGAAAUUAUUUGAGGCUUUCAUUUGAUAAAUGUGGAUUGACAGUGCUUUUCAGAAAGUCAGGACAUUGUGUGCUUGCGAAUUUAGUGUACUCCUUUCUGUUCCAACACACUCAAAAGAACAAGAAUGAACUAUGACAUCGUAUGCUGUAAA